rnacentral:rRNA from 1 species
ACUCAAAGGAAUAGACGGGGGCCCGCACAAGCGGCGGAGCAUGUGGAUUAAUUCGAUGCAACGCGAAGAACCUUACCUGGGUUUGACAUGCACCAGACGCUGCCGGAGACGGUAGUUCCCUUGUGGUUGGUGUGCAGGUGGUGCAUGGCUGUCGUCAGCUCGUGUCGUGAGAUGUUGGGUUAAGUCCCGCAACGAGCGCAACCCUCGUUCCAUGUUGCCAGCGGGUUAUGCCGGGGACUCAUGGGAGACUGCCGGGGUCAACUCGGAGGAAGGUGGGGAUGACGUCAAGUCAUCAUGCCCCUUAUGUCCAGGGCUUCACACAUGCUACAAUGGCUCAUACAGAGGGCUGCGAGACCGUGAGGUGGAGCGAAUCCCUUAAAGUGAGUCUCAGUUCGGAUCGGGGUCUGCAACUCGACCCCGUGAAGUCGGAGUCGCUAGUAAUCGCAGAUCAGCAACGCUGCGGUGAAUACGUUCCCGGGCCUUGCACACACCGCCCGU